GAAAUAUAAAAUAAUUAAGCUGCUAACUUAAUUUAUAGUGGUUAAAUCCAUUAAUAUUUUU
rnacentral:tRNA from 1 species